rnacentral:rRNA from 1 species
CGAAAGCCUGACGCAGCCACGCCGCGUGAGUGAUGAAGGCCUUCGGGUUGUAAAGCUCUGUCGGGAGGGAAGACGGGAGAAAUCCCAGACGGUACCUCGCAAGAAAGCACCGGCUAACUCUGUGCCAGCAGCCGCGGUAAUACAGAGGGUGCAAGCGUUGCUCGGAUUUACUGGGCGUAAAGCGUACGCAGACGGUCACGCAGGUCGGAUGUGAAAGCCCCCGGGCUCAACCCGGGAACUGCAUUCGAAACCAUGUGACUUGAGGAUGGUAGAGGAGAGCGGAAUUCCCGGUGUAGAGGUGAAAUUCGUAGAUAUCGGGAGGAACACCAGUGGCGAAAGCGGCUCUCUGGCCCAUUUCUGACGUUCAGGUACGAAAGCGUGGGGAGCAAAACAGGAUUAGAUACCCUGGUAGUCCACGCCGUAAAACGAUGCAUGCUGGCUGUCGGAGGUAUUCACCCCUUCGGUAGCGAAGCUAACGCGUUAAGCAUGCCGCCGUGGGGAGUACGGCCGCAAGGUUG